UACGUAGGGUGCAAGCGUUGUUCGGAAUCAUUGGGCGUAAAGCGAAAGUAGGCGGUUUUCUAAGUCGGAUGUGAAAUCCCUCGGCUCAACCGGGGAAGUGCAUUCGAAACUAGUUAGCUAGAAGGUGGUAGAGAAAGGUGGAAUUCCAAGUGUAGAGGUGAAAUUCGUAGAUAUUUGGAGGAAUACCAGAGGCGAAGGCGGCCUUUUGGACCAUUCUUGACGCUGAAUUUCGAAAGCGUGGGUAGCAAAC
rnacentral:rRNA from 1 species